ensembl:lncRNA
AUGUCGUAUUCCAUUUUACCCCGGUCCAACUAUCAAGGAGUUUCGAGGCACAAAGCGAUCGAAAGCCUCCCUGAGACAGCAUGUUUGCUCAGUUCCAACCAAAAGAAACUUCUCUGCACUCGUGGAGGAAAAAAACUGGGGGCUAGAGAGGAGAGCCCCUGCCACUUUCUCUGUCCCGUGCAAGAAAGGUUUGGUCAGCAGGAGCUGGCAUUUGCCAAGCUCUGGUACUUACAAGAGGCUGUGAUGUCAGCCAUUUUAGGUUGGACAGUACAAUGCGCGAUACGCCGCCAUUUUUCUUAGUUUUUCUUUUUAAGUUGCCAUAUCAAUGGCCUGGAGUCCAAGAUACAGAACUGAAGGAGAUAUAAAAAACACAGAAAUAGGUUCUCAUUACUCAGGAUUUUUUUACACAUUUUUGGUCUGUCAUUCAGCCAGGCCAUAGAGGAAGGCUUUGGUGAACAAUAUAAGAUUGUGAUGGAUGACAUUAAAAUGCAUUUGAACAGAACAAGAGAUGCUUUGGCAGUGUACAUUAUACUGUAGUACAAUACCCCAGUCCUCAGACCUCUGUGCCAAUUUUACAAGACGACACUGACAGGAUGUCCUUUGCAAUAUAUAUAUCCCACAUUUGUCUUUUAUGAAAGGACUGUCACAAACACUUAAUCAGUAGAGUGGACUGUGCAGUCGAGCAGGUAUUUUUGUAUUGUCGUUGUGAGAAGGUCUCUUUACCACUGGCCCACCCAACCCCAAUGGUCCGGAACAGCUAAGCCAAGACUGGCAUUUUCAAAGAUGGCACAGCAGGAGGAUUAACUUUGUCCUUUGCCUGGCAUAAAAGGUGGUCAUUUAUGUGUGUGCGUGUGUGCGUAAAUGCGUCUGGUGGGUGUAGUCGAGAGACUCCUCUGUGUGUGGUGUGGUGGGCAAGGAGAAGAGAGGGGUUGCUAUGGCAAUGUUAACACAUGAGUGGCACCGCCGACUGGUCUCCCAGCGGACCGGGCUGCAGUCAUGGAGGUAAGGGGGGCAAGGAGGAGACGGUUGACAACACCUGCGUCUCUCAGCAGGCAUUCACACGUUCACACACCCUUACUCAUAUACUGGUACACACAUAAAUACAUAGAACACAAACACACACGCCCUGAAGACACAGUCAAACACAGAAUUAAGGGGCAUACAAACGACCAGAUGCUGAAGACGGAUACACUGGGUUAACCACUUGCAUCCUUGGCUGAAGGUGUGACAGUGGAGCUUACAACUCUGUAGUUAAUGUGGAUAUUGUGGACAUACAAACAUUAACCUAUUAGAAUACACUUGAAUUAUGAUGUGCAAACUAAGUCACAUCCAUUCAGUCAAACACACAUUACUAGACACAGAAAUCAUAAUAGACACAGUAGACAUCCAGACAUGCAGGAAAUUGAACAAUGGCAAGUUGACGGACAGUCGUCUAAAUAAGGUUCCCAGUGCUGGGUCACAUUUCUCUUAUAAAUGAGACGCCAUUGUUCCCAACAUCUUCCUUGUUCAGGGAAGUAAUUGCUAUCUGUUUCUGACUUAUAUUUGGAUGUCCAGUUGAUCCACUCACAUGACUUUAAUCUAUUUAAUGAACAUUUGGCAGAAGAUGUACUCCUAAACAGAUUUUUCCUAUUGUUUAGGUGUGUCUAUCAGGAACUGUUUGCCUGUCCCACACCCACUUAUGCCAGGCACAGUUUCUGUUGAUUUUCAACUCAAAACCAGGGAAGCAGGCUGAGGCUGUCAGACUUUCAAGACAGCCGUGGAUCACUGAAAUGCUAAUAUAUGGAAAACAAAUGUUGUCAUAAAACAGCCAAGAUUUCUCAUCAGCCCUUGUGUGACUGCAGCACCACAGACUGUUUACU